rnacentral:lncRNA from 1 species
AGACCUUUAACAAUAAUCUAGCAAAAAGUAUUCUACUCUUCCAUAUAUGAUUAAUUAAUGUGUUAAAAAAGUGGUGGUCCAUAAAGUACAUAAGGGAGAAAAUCCAAGGUACGAAAAUGGUAGAGUAGCUUGUUGCAGCAUAAUGUGUUAAACUAUUGUUGUUUAAGGGGUAUGUUGUAUGCAUUAUAAUUUGACAGAAACACAUUUAUUUAAUAUUGAGUUAU